rnacentral:rRNA from 1 species
AUUGAACGCUGGCGGCAGGCCUAACACAUGCAAGUCGAACGGUAACAGGAAACAGCUUGCUGUUUCGCUGACGAGUGGCGGACGGGUGAGUAAUGUCUGGGAAACUGCCUGAUGGAGGGGGAUAACUACUGGAAACGGUAGCUAAUACCGCAUAACGUCGCAAGACCAAAGAGGGGGACCCUCGGGCCUCUUGCCAUCGGAUGUGCCCAGAUGGGAUUAGCUUGUUGGUGGGGUAACGGCUCACCAAGGCGACGAUCCCUAGCUGGUCUGAGAGGAUGACCCGCCAAGCGGAAACGGGGACACGGUCCAGACUCCUACGGGGGGCAGCAGUGGGGAAUAUUGCAAAAGGGGGGAAAGCCGAAUGAAGCCAUGCCGCGUGUAUGAAGAAGGCCUUGGGGUUGAAAAGGACUUUCAGGGGGGAGGAAGGGAGUAAAGUUAAUCCCUUUGCUCAUUGACGGAACCCGAAAAAAAGGCCCCGGCUACCCCCG